CCGCACCUGGGCUGCUGGGUUCCUAGGCCCUGGCUGCCGCCUGCUUCCCGCCUCCACGACUACACCCAGUCUCUCCUCCUCCGCUGGCCAGCUCCUCAGCACCCGCUAGCCCCACCCUGACAUCCGCUCGGUCAGGCCGUCCACCCGUUUGCCCGUCGGUGACCUGCGACCGUCUGUCCCCACAUCCUGAAAUCCCCAAUCGGUAGCCCCCUACAUCCUUCUAUUGUAUGUCCUCUCCUCUCUUUUUUGCGAAGGUGGAUCAUAUUGCAUUAACCAAGAUUCUUACAGAAAAGCCCUGAAAAUAGAAAAUUUACAACGAAAUCCUUCAGCACCCCAGCGUCAUCCUCAUCGCACAGCACGCUGCGCCGGCGAAACCCGCCGCCACUCCUCCACUCAUUGCCUGGACUGGGAGGAUCCCCCGAGCGGCCGGGAAGUCGACGCUCCUCGGCACCUGAGCGCCUCCAUCCUGCACCACACGCUCGACGACGCCGGCUUGGUCAAUAGCAGCACCACCACCUAGAUCUUCGACGGCCGGCUCCACCAUCUCUCGGACACCGGCUUGGGGGAGACGUGCACCACAACUCCGACGAGUCGCGGCCGCGCAACGGACAGCAGAUCCACCACGGCGCUCCACCGGAGCGACCAGGGCGGAGGAGAGGACCACUGCCCACAAAACUCUCUCCGGCCACGCCACCAACUCCUCAGUGCCGCCGGCAGAGAUCCCACUGCUACAUACACUAUAUACACAGCGCGAUCCGUCGAUUCCCCAUCCUCCCGCCGCCGGAGCGGCCGCCGGAGGGUGAGAAAUCGACCGGAUCGACGCCGGCGAGGUGGAAGCAGAGAGGGGUACACAAAUCGCCUCUUACCACUGUAGAUGGGGAUAAGAGGAGAGGUCCGGGCUCUCUUGGUAGUGUAUGUCGUCUCCUUCUAUGUCUCGCAAAUUUGGUGUAAGUUGCUACAGAUGCUUGUCGUCGCCACGAGGACAAAGACGGCGACCUCAUGCUUGUGGGAGACGUGCAAUGGGAUAUAUACUUCUGAGAUCUUCCUGUGAGUACUUCAUUCAGGAUCAUUGUGGCGACACCAAACAUCUGCAGAGAGAUGUUUGUCCUAGCUUGGAGGUUAAGAAGAAUCUCAGGGAGUCAAGAACAUCUCGAUGGCGUCGUCAAAUCACCGGAUAGCUUGCUGAGAGCAAGACUAAUUAAUGGCAUAAAACAGGGCAAACAGUCGUUGGUUCUGUUGUUGAUUUGUUUGGCCAUUCUUGUGGCAAGAUAUGACGAUGCAGAGCAAUACUGAUCCCAGCUGCGAUGACAAUCCAAAUUAGCUAAGGUUUGCAGUAUAAUUAAGGUUGCAAUAUUCUCUUAGCACAGAUUUUCCAUUUGUAUUGAUUGAUUAAUGAGACUACUGUAGUGGAUGUUUGGCUCUUUGUUACUUAUUAUCGGGCGCCGGAAAUGGUGGUUGGCUA